CCAAACCUCACCUUUCUACACUCUCUGAAUCAAUCUGGGACUGAAGCCAAAGUCACCUGCUAUAUAAGAGCGACAAAGCACAGGUGAACUGCAGUCCUGAUCAAGUUUAGACCAAACAUCCUUGUGCCAAACUCCACUCAAGAUGGGGUUUGGCAGGGGGAUAUUGCUACCAGAAUGGGCUUUCCUGUUAGCAGUUUGCUGUAUCCAUCAAAUAGGAGGUCAAACUGGAAGUCAGUUGUCUGGGAGUCUUCUACAGAAUGCUUCAAUCAAAAUCUCAGAUAACUGGAACGUCUUCUCACCACUGCUAACAAAUCUAGCAAUAACAC